rnacentral:rRNA from 2 species
UACGGAAGGUCCGGGCGUUAUCCGGAUUUAUUGGGUUUAAAGGGAGCGUAGGCCGGAGAUUAAGCGUGUUGUGAAAUGUAGAUGCUCAACAUCUGAACUGCAGCGCGAACUGGUUUCCUUGAGUACGCAUAAAGUGGGCGGAAUUCGUGGUGUAGCGGUGAAAUGCUUAGAUAUCACGAAGAACUCCGAUUGCGAAGGCAGCUCACUGGGGCGCAACUGACGCUGAAGCUCGAAAGCGCGGGUAUCGAACAGG